CCUACGGGAGGCAGCAGUAGGGGAUAUUGCUCAAUGGGGGGAACCCUGAAGCAGCAACGCCGCGUGGAGGAUGAAGGUUUUAGGAUUGUAAACUCCUUUUGUUAGGGAAGAUUAUGACGGUAUCUAGCGAAUAAGCCCCGGCUAACUCCGUGCCAGCAGCCGCGGUAAUACGGAGGGUGCAAGCGUUACUCGGAAUCACUGGGCGUAAAGAGUGCGUAGGCGGGGUAAUAAGUCAGGUGUGAAAUCCUGUGGCUUAACCACAGGACUGCAUUUGAAACUGUUACUCUGGAGUGUGGGAGGGGUAGGUGGAAUUCUUGGUGUAGGGGUAAAAUCCGUAGAGAUCAAGAGGAAUACGCAUGGCGAAGGCGACCUGCUGGAACAUUACUGACGCUGAUGCACGAAAGCGUGGGGAGCAAACAGGAUUAGAUACCCGAGUAGUC
rnacentral:rRNA from 1 species